rfam:Salmo salar isolate Sally breed double haploid chromosome ssa15, whole genome shotgun sequence.
UGCAUUCACUACUGUAAGUCGCUCAGGAUAAGAGCGUCUGCUAAAUGACUAAAA